rnacentral:rRNA from 1 species
UGGACGUCGGGGGCAUGAGGUGGUGGUGAACGUAGGGUGAGGGCGUUAACAUGAAUUACUGGGCGUCAAGCGUGCGCAGUGGGGUUGGUAGGGCAGGCGUGCAAUCCCCGGGCUUAACCGGGGAACUGCGCUGGUGACGGCCAGGCUAGGGUACGGCAGAGGGGGGUGGAAUUCCACGUGAAGCAGUGAAAUGCGUAGAGAUGUGGAGGAACACCAAUGGCGAAGGCAGCCCCCUGGGUCGAUACUGACGCUCAUGCACGAAAGCGUGGGUAGCAAACAGGAUUAGAUACCCCGGUAGUC